rfam:Picea glauca, whole genome shotgun sequence.
AUGUACAUUCGUACAACAUAGCGUUAAUGCACCAGAUCCCAUUAGAAACCUGCAGUUAAGAGCGCUUAGGCUAGAGUAGUAUUGGGAUGGGUGACUGCCCGGGAAGUCCUACUGUUUUACAUG